rnacentral:rRNA from 1 species
GAUGAACGCUGGCGGCGUGCCUAAUACAUGCAAGUCGAGCGAACAGACGAGGAGCUUGCUCCUCUGACGUUAGCGGCGGACGGGUGAGUAACACGUGGAUAACCUACCUAUAAGACUGGGAUAACUUCGGGAAACCGGAGCUAAUACCGGAUAAUAUAUUGAACCGCAUGGUUCAAUAGUGAAAGACGGUUUUGCUGUCACUUAUAGAUGGAUCCGCGCCGCAUUAGCUAGUUGGUAAGGUAACGGCUUACCAAGGCAACGAUGCGUAGCCGACCUGAGAGGGUGAUCGGCCACACUGGAACUGAGACACGGUCCAGACUCCGACGGGAGGCAGCAGUAGGGAAUCUUCCGCAAUGGGCGAAAGCCUGACGGAGCAACGCCGCGUGAGUGAUGAAGGUCUUCGGAUCGUAAAACUCUGUUAUUAGGGAAGAACAAAUGUGUAAGUAACUAUGCACGUCUGGACGGUACCUAAUCAGAAAGCCACGGCUAACUACGG